UAGUAAUAAAUCUAAUUUAAACUUUAACUUUAAUUAAUCUUAA
rnacentral:tRNA from 1 species